GGCGGAGUGGUUUGAAUACUGGACUAGGACUCUGGAGACCAGGGUUCGAUUCCCUACUUAGCCG